rnacentral:misc_RNA from 1 species
AAGUCGUAACAAGGUUUCCGUAGGUGAACCUGCGGAAGGAUCAUUACAUUCAGUAGCCUAGCUACUUGUUUAUACCCUUGUUUUUUGCGUACCUAUUGUUUCCUCGGUGGGCUUGCCUGCCGGUUGGACAAAACUUAUAACCUUUUUAAAUCUUCAAUCAGCGUCUGAAUUAUACAUAAUAAUUACAACUUUCAACAACGGAUCUCUUGGUUCUG